rnacentral:rRNA from 1 species
AUUGAACGCUGGCGGCAGGCUUAACACAUGCAAGUCGAGCGAGCGGCGGACGGGUGAGUAAUGUCUGGGCAACUGCCUGAUGGAGGGGGAUAACUACUGGAAACGGUAGCUACUACCGCAUACCAUCAGCUGUGCCCAGAUGGGAUUAGCUAGUAGGUGGUGUAAUGGCUCACCUAGGCGACGAGCCCUAGCUGGUAUGAGAGGAUGACGAGCCACACGGGAACGGAGACACGGGACAGACGCCUACGGGAGGCAGCAGUGGGGAGUAGGGAACAAUGGGCGAAAGCCUGAUGCAGCCAGGCGGCGUGUGUGAAGAAGGCAUUCGGGUUUUAAAGCACUUUCAGCGAGGAGGCGUUACUCGCAGAAGAAGCACCGGCUAACUCCGGGCCAGCAGCCGCGGUAAUAC